UAAGCGGAGGAAAAGAACUAACAAGGAUUCCCCUAGUAACUGCGAGUGAAGCGGGAAAAGCUCAAAUUUAAAAUCUGGUGGCCUUUGUCCAUCCGAGUUGNNAUUUAGAGAAGCGUCUUCCGCGCUGGNCCGUGCNCAAGUCUCCUGGAAUGGAGCGUCAUAGAGGGUGAGAAUCCCGUCUUUGGCACGGACACACCAGGGCUUUUGUGAUGCGCUCUCAAAGAGUCGAGUUGUUUGGGAAUGCAGCUCAAAAUGGGUGGUGAACUCCAUCUAAAGCUAAAUAUUGGCGAGAGACCGAUAGCAAACAAGUNCCGUGNGGGAAAGNNGAAAAAGCACUUUGGAANAGAGAGUGAAACAGUNCGGGAAAUUGUUGAAAGGGAAACGCUUGAAGUCAGUCGCGUCGCCCGAGACUCANCCUUGCCU
rnacentral:rRNA from 1 species